UACGGAGGGUGCAAGCGUUGUCCGGAAUCACUGGGCGUAAAGGGCGCGUAGGCGGCUCAUGAAGGCUGUGGUGAAAGUCCGGGGCUCAACCCUCGGAUCGGCCGUGGCGACUCGUGGCUGGAGCACUGUAGAGGCGGGUGGAAUUCCGGGUGUAGCGGUGGAAUGCGUAGAGAUCCGGAAGAACACCAGUGGCGAAGGCGGCCCG
rnacentral:rRNA from 1 species